CUUGAACCAACUUCAUCACAAAGACCAGAACCUUCACCAGCUCAACACACACCACCACAUCACUGCUACACCGUUGCUAAAUCAAAGACCAACUAAGCCACACUCUCAAAACCCAGAGAUAAGAACCGGAUUCAAACCCUUUCAAAUUGUCACAAAACCACUCGAAACAGGCUGAAGACACAGCCACUGCAAAACAGGAGAGCCACCAAAGCUUGAAUCUUUACCUCGAUUGGAGUUUCAGACGG
rnacentral:lncRNA from 1 species